rnacentral:misc_RNA from 1 species
AAGUCGUAACAAGGUUUCCGUAGGUGAACCUGCGGAAGGAUCAUUAACACGCAUUGAAAGCAUCCAAUAUCAACAAAUCACAACCAAACGGUCAACUAUCUCCUCCCUAUUUCGCACACCGGAGACGGUACGAGUAGGCUAACAUGUAAAUAACAACAACAAGCUCAAUCAAGCAAUUGCUUGCGCAUAAAAAAUGUUUGUUAUUUUCAAACACAAGAUAACCCCUUUUAAUUAUAUUAUUCAUUUAAUAUAAGCGAACAACUCUUCGAAUUUGCCCUUCCUUUGAUUUCAUUUUCAAUGAAGAACAAAAACGAACUAAACUAAAAUAUACAUUCGAUAUAUUUUUAUUUUACGAAAUAAUAUAUAUUUAUAAGAACAACUCUUAGCAAUGGAUAUCUUGGUUCUC